ACACGCACAGACCCCAAAAAAAUAAAAAAAAAAAGGGGAAAGAAAACCUUACCUACCAAUUUGCAUUCCUACCUCAUCGAUACUGAACUCACAGUCAUCCUGGUAACACAUUUGAGAGGUUGAAUUAAGUAGUCUUUUAGGAUGAGUAGCUACAAAAUUAUGAUUAAAAAGUUAGGUUAACUCUAAGUAGUUCAAUGCUAUUCCAAGAGUUUAGGCGAGUUCUGAAAACCUGUUUUCCAUGUGUUAUGCAAAUACAUUGACAUCUUCCCUGAAGACCCUGGAAAUGCAUCCUUCAAUUUCAGACCAAGUUUGA
rnacentral:misc_RNA from 1 species